CCCCACGUGGCCCCUCGCGGCCUUGGCCUGCUCCCUGCUCGCCGCCAUCUUGGGCGUGACCCUCUGGUGCCGCCGACGUCACUUCCGGGGGGCGGAACCGGAAGUGUCCCCACCGCCUAAAGGAAUCGGGGGAGGGGCAGGCAACGAGUACGGACCGGAACCGGAAGUGGGAGCCUUCGACCAAUCAGAAGCCGACGAUGAAUGGGGCGGAUAUGAGGAGGUCCCGCCCCUCGUGACCCCGGAAGGAGAACUGGUGUGAAGGGGGCGGGGUCAAGACGAGGUCACGCCCUCAUUUGAAUAAACCCCUCCCCCCAUCGGAGCUGA